UUCACUUUUACUCGUGAGAUUCUGUCGUUCAAGAUCUCCACUUACGACCCUUAUGGGAUCAUCCAUGUAUGGAUCCGCCCGUGUUCGGCAUCUCUGUGGCCUCACGGGGAUGCCAAAGCUGGUCGUCGAGACAUGGAGUCCCCAGGUUGAUUGAUCAAACGAAGAAUGAGCUUCUACAUUCUUGUGCACCAUAACCUGCCUACUGCAAAGUGUGUCCACCAACCCUGGAUGCAGUUCUAUCGGGGGCACGCUGAUGGCGAGUACCUGGUCGUCAGAAGGACGUGGGCCAGGCGGCGGUCACCCUGAGGAAAAAGCUCACUGGUACAAGCAGCAGAAAUGAGGGCCAGCAUCUUUUUGGGUGUCCUAGCCCACCAGUGGAGACGGAUCUCCAUCUUGUCAGUGAUGGGGAUUAUUUUCAUCUAAAUGUUUAAAUUUAAUGUAUUCUGAAUUAAAUUAUUUUAAUGUAUGAAUGAAAUGUUUGUUACUUACAGUAUUAGAUUUUAGUUGGUAAUAAAAUGAACCCAUUGUCUUAA